rnacentral:rRNA from 1 species
UAAUACGGAGGUGGCAAGCGUUGUUCGGAUUGAUUGGGUGUAAAGGGCAUGUAGGCGUCCCGAUAAGUCGAAUGUGAAAUCCCGCAGCUCAACUGCGGAACUGCAUUCGAAACUGCCGGGAUUGAGUACGGAAGGGGAGAAUGGAAUUCCCGGUGUAAGGGUGAAAUCUGUAGAUAUCGGGAGGAACACCAGUGGCGAAGGCGAUUCUCUGGUCCGAUACUGACGCUGAAGUGCGAAAGCUAGGGGAGCGAACAGGAUUAGAUACCCUGGUAGUCCUAGCCGUAAACGAUGGGCACUAGGUGUUGGUCCGCAAGGGUCGGUGCCGCAGUUAACGCAUUAAGUGCCCCACCUGGGGAGUACGUCGGCAACGAUG